AGAGUUUGAUCCUGGCUCAGGACGAACGCUGGCGGCGUGCCUAACACAUGCUAGUCGAGCGAAGCGCCUGGUUUUAGCUUGCUAAAUCCGGGUGACUUAGCGGCGAACGGGUGAGUAACACGUGGGCAAUCUAUCCGGAAGACCGGGAUAACAGUGCGAAAGUGCUGCUAAUACCGGAUAACCCCUUAAGAUCGCAUGGUCUGGAGGGCAAAAGUUGGCAACUUCGCUUUCGGGUGAGCCCGCGUCUCAUUAGCUAGUUGGCAGGGUAACGGCCUACCAAGGCGACGAUGAGUAGCUGGUCUGAGAGGAUGGUCAGCCACACUGGGACUGAGACACGGCCCAGACUCCUACGGGAGGCAGCAGUGGGGAAUAUUGCGCAAUGGGCGCAAGCCUGACGCAGCGACGCCGCGUGAGCGAUGAAGGCCUUCGGGUUGUAAAGCACUUUUGUCAGGGAAGAAAAGGUUCUGGCUAAUACCCGGAACUGAUGACGGUACCUGAAGAAUAAGCACCGGCUAACUACGUGCCAGCAGCCGCGGUAAUACGUAGGGUGCAAGCGUUAAUCGGAAUUACUGGGCGUAAAGCGUGCGCAGGCGGUUCGGAAAGAAGGAUGUGAAAUCCCAGGGCUCAACCUUGGAACUGCAUUCUUAAUUACCGAACUAGAGUAUGUCAGAGGGGGGUAGAAUUCCGCGUGUAGCAGUGAAAUGCGUAGAUAUGCGGAGGAAUACCGAUGGCGAAGGCAGCCCCUGGGAUAAUACUGACGCUCAUGCACGAAA
rnacentral:rRNA from 1 species